GGCCUUCUUUUCGCCUGAAUGAAGGAUGGGUACGGUGUAUCCUUCAAUAGGUAGCAUUUCCCAAGAUGCCUUGCGGGCCGGCCGGCAGAAAAACUUAAAAACAAUGGCGGACAGUGAAGCGGGAGCUGUCGGAGAGGAUUGCGCAUAUAAAUGACCAAAAGAGAAAACCAGGGAAUUUAUUAAGCUUAGGGCGGAGAUGGACCACAUGAUCACCGGAGCAAAGUAUUCGGCGGCUGUGGCAUGGAGACUAUUCUGGAGAAAAUGGGCAUCCAGGGGAAGGUGCCAGCGAUGAGCUUCUGGAGCUGAUCUGGGAGGACAUGAGGCUGCAGAGCAGCAGAGAGCACAGGAGAGAAGGAAGAACUUUGACAGCUUUUUACUUUGCUAGAAAAAAAUGGUUAAUGAAGAUUAAACAUGUACAUAUAAAAGAAAUAUCUAAAUAAAAUCAGUUCUGCAUUAAA